rnacentral:lncRNA from 1 species
UCCUAGGAGGCACGGAGUAAGGGCCGUCGCCAUCUGACCCUAACCUCGUCCGGUUGCUUCCGCUGGCCCGGGUCCAGCCUCGGUGGCUAGAGCGUCGCGGGACGUUGGGCGCGCGCUGCGGACAGCCCCAGAGCCCGCCGCUCGCGCCUGACGCCUCAAGCCCUUGUCUCUGCAUCGAAAUGGCUGAAGUCUACAGGGUUGAAACAUCCCUCUGAUAUGCUCAGAGCUACACUUCUUCCCAGGCUGCUGUGACAACUUGGUGACUCCACCAUGUCCAGGCUCCAGGUCCAGGAGCAGGCAGUGGAUUCCGAGGGAGACUCAUCCCUAUACAGGAGAGAUGAGGAGGGGACACAGAGCUCCCACCGCAUGCUGGGCUUUAGUGAUGCCUUACUAUCCAUCAUCGCCACUGUCAUGGUCAGUGUGGGGCCCGCCUCAAACCUACCACUCCUUUCUGUGGCAGCCUCGGAUGCCCAAACCUUUCAUGCAGGUGCAGCCUGCCCAGCAGUGGUCAAGAGCCAACAUAACUACUGAAGAGCCCAGCCCCAGAAGUAUUGCUUGGUCAUUUUUGUCUUUGUUCCUUUAGAUCCUGCCUGUGACCCACACAGAGAUCUCACCAGAACAGCAGUUUGACAAAAGUAUACAGAAACUUCUAGCAACUAGGAUUGCUGUCUACCUCAUGACAUUUCUAAUCGUAACUGUGGCCUGGGCAGCACAUAGCCUGUAUGAUGACCAUCACCCUUCUGCCCUACACA